AUGCCCCUGGACUUCACCAAGCACUUCGUCGCGGUGCCGACGGAGUUCAAGCUCAGGAACAACACCGGCUGCUCCUGGAAGGUGACGCUCAAGCUGAUGAACGGCAGGGUGACCCUGGAUCAGGGUUGGGCCACCUACGCAACCGUUCGUCAGAUCAAGAUCGGCUAUAUGGUGACGUUCAAGCUCCUCACUCCCGACACCCUCAAGGUCAUCAUCUUCGAUGACGAUGGCAUUGAGGUCGUCAACAAGGCGGGAAGCACGACGAAGCCUUCGCCGCCAAGGAGUAGGGCCGGGCCACCUCUUUCGAGCGUACUAUCGAGUCUGCUUUGA
rnacentral:rRNA from 1 species